rnacentral:rRNA from 1 species
UCCUACGGGAGGCAGCAGUGGGGAAUAUUGGACAAUGGACCGCAAGUCUGAUCCAGCAAUUCUGUGUGCACGAUGACGUUUUUCGGAAUGUAAAGUGCUUUCAGUCGGGAAGAAGUCAGUGACGGUACCGACAGAAGAAGCGACGGCUAAAUACGUGCCAGCAGCCGCGGUAAUACGUAUGUCGCAAGCGUUAUCCGGAUUUAUUGGGCGUAAAGCGCGUCUAGGCGACAAGGAAAGUCUGAUGUGAAAAUGCGGAGCUCAACUCCGUAUGGCGUUGGAAACUGCCUUACUAGAGUACUGGAGAGGUAGGCGGAACUACAAGUGUAGAGGUGAAAUUCGUAGAUAUUUGUAGGAAUGCCGAUGGGGAAGCCAGCCUACUGGACAGAUACUGACGCUAAAGCGCGAAAGCGUGGGUAGCAAACAGGAUUAGAUACCCUGGUAGUCC